GAGACACCCUUCUGGGGCAAGACUUGCUUCAGUGAGGCUUUGGUGCUCACUGAGUCUGCCUCCUGAGUGUGUCCCU
rnacentral:pre_miRNA from 1 species